AGGAGCCGUAUGCGGUAGUUCCGCACGUACGGAUCUGGGCGGGGCGCUAGGUAACUGCAGUCCCUACCGCGAC
rnacentral:autocatalytically_spliced_intron from 1 species